rnacentral:rRNA from 1 species
UACGUAGGGUGCGAGCGUUAAUCGGAUUUACUGGGCGUAAAGCGUGCGCAGGCGGCCCGUUAAGACAGGUGUGAAAUCCCUGGGCUCAACCUAGGAAUUGCGCUUGUGACUGGCGGGCUCGAGUACGGUAGAGGGGGGUGGAAUUCCUGGUGUAGCAGUGAAAUGCGUAGAGAUCAGGAGGAACACCGAUGGCGAAGGCAGCCCCCUGGGCCUGUACUGACGCUCAUGCAUGAAAGCGUGGGGAGCAAACAGG